rnacentral:rRNA from 1 species
UAAGGAAUAUUGGUCAAUGGACGAGAGUCUGAACCAGCCAUGCCGCGUGAAGGAUGAAGGUCCUCUGGAUUGUAAACUUCUUUUAUCUGGGACGAAAACGGGAUUUUUAUCUCAAUUGACGGUACCAGAGGAAUAAGCACCGGCUAACUCCGUGCCAGCAGCCGCGGUAAUACGGAGGGUGCGAGCGUUAUCCGGAUUUACUGGGUUUAAAGGGUGCGUAGGUGGGCUUAUAAGUCAGUGGUGAAAUCUUCCGGCUUAACCGGGAAACUGCCGUUGAUACUAUUUGUCUUGAAUAUUGCGGAGGUAAGCGGAAUAUGUCAUGUAGCGGUGAAAUGCAUAGAUAUGACAUGGAACACCAAUUGCGAAGGCAGCUUACUACACAAUGAUUGACGCUGAUGCACGAAAGCGUGGGGAGCGAACA